rnacentral:rRNA from 1 species
UACGGAGGGAGCUAGCGUUGUUCGGAAUUACUGGGCGUAAAGCGUGCGUAGGCGGUUAUUCAAGUCAGAGGUGAAAGCCCGGGGCUCAACCCCGGAACGGCCUUUGAAACUAGGUAACUAGAAUCUUGGAGAGGUUAGUGGAAUUCCGAGUGUAGAGGUGAAAUUCGUAGAUAUUCGGAAGAACACCAGUGGCGAAGGCGGCUCACUGGCCCGAUACUGACGCUGAGGCACGAAAGCGUGGGGGAGCAAACAGG